rnacentral:ncRNA from 2 species
CCCCGCAACUGUAAACGGCGAGGUCUUCUUCACGCAAAGCCACUGGGAAACCGGGAAGGCGGAGAAGAUCAAGGAACCGGAGCCAGGAAACCUGCCGCGCACGAUGUGAACCC